rnacentral:rRNA from 1 species
CCUACGGGAGGCAGCAGUGAGGAAUAUUGGUCAAUGGGCGCGAGCCUGAACCAGCCAAGUCGCGUGAGGGAAGACGGCCCUACGGGUUGUAAACCUCUUUUGCCGGGGAGCAAAGGGCGCCACGUGUGGCGCCACUGAGAGUACCCGGAGAAAAAGCAUCGGCUAACUCCGUGCCAGCAGCCGCGGUAAUACGGAGGAUGCGAGCGUUAUCCGGAUUUUUUGGGUUUAAAGGGAGCGUAGGUGGAUUGUUAAGUCAGUUGUGAAAGUUUGCGGCUCAACCGUAAAAUUGCAGUUGAAACUGGCAGUCUUGAGUACAGUAGAGGUGGGCGGAAUUCGUGGUGUAGCGGUGAAAUGCUUAGAUAUCACGAAGAACUCCGAUUGCGAAGGCAGCCUGCUGGACUGUAACUGACGCUGAUGCUCGAAAGUGUGGGUAUCAAACAGGAUUAGAUACCCCAGUAGUC